rnacentral:rRNA from 2 species
UCCUGGCUCAGAGCGAACGCUGGCGGCAGGCUUAACACAUGCAAGUCGAACGGGCUUCUUCGGAAGUCAGUGGCAGACGGGUGAGUAACACGUGGGAACGUGCCCUUCGGUUCGGAAUAACUCAGGGAAACUUGAGCUAAUACCGGAUACGCCCUUAUGGGGAAAGGUUUACUGCCGAAGGAUCGGCCCGCGUCUGAUUAGCUUGUUGGUGGGGUAACGGCCUACCAAGGCGACGAUCAGUAGCUGGUCUGAGAGGAUGAUCAGCCACACUGGGACUGAGACACGGCCCAGACUCCUACGGGAGGCAGCAGUGGGGAAUAUUGGACAAUGGGCGCAAGCCUGAUCCAGCCAUGCCGCGUGAGUGAUGAAGGCCUUAGGGUUGUAAAGCUCUUUUGUCCGGGACGAUAAUGACGGUACCGGAAGAAUAAGCCCCGGCUAACUUCGUGCCAGCAGCCGCGGUAAUACGAAGGGGGCUAGCGUUGCUCGGAAUCACUGGGCGUAAAGGGCGCGUAGGCGGCCGAUUAAGUCGGGGGUGAAAGCCUGUGGCUCAACCACAGAAUUGCCUUCGAUACUGGUUGGCUUGAGACCGGAAGAGGACAGCGGAACUGCGAGUGUAGAGGUGAAAUUCGUAGAUAUUCGCAAGAACACCAGUGGCGAAGGGGCUGG